rnacentral:rRNA from 1 species
CCUACGGGGGCAGCAGUGAGGAAUAUUGGUCAAUGGACGAGAGUCUGAACCAGCCAAGUAGCGUGAAGGAUGACUGCCCUAUGGGUUGUACACUUCUUUUAUAUGGGAAUAAAAUGUUCCACGUGUGGGAUUUUGUAUGUACCAUAUGAAUAAGGAUCGGCUAACUCCGUGCAAGCAGCCGCGGUAAUACGGAGGAUCCGUGCGUUAUCCGGAUUUAUUGGGUUUAAAGGGAGCGUAGGUGGAUUGUUAAGUCAGUUGUGAAAGUUUGCGGAUCAACCGUAAAAUUGCAGUUGAAACUGGCAGUCUUGAGUACAGUAGAGGUGGGCGGAAGUCGUGGUGUAGCGGUGAAAUGCUUAGAGAUCACGAAGAACUCCGAUUGCGAAGGCAGCUCACUGGACUGCAACUGACACUGAGGCUCGAAAGUGUGGGUAUCAAACAGGAUUAGAUACCCCGGUAGUC